CAGCAGCCGCGGGAAUACGUAGGUGGCAAGCGUUGUCCGGAAUUAUUGGGCGUAAAGCGCGCGCAGGUGGUUUAAUAAGUCUGAUGUGAAAGCCCACGGCUCAACCGUGGAGGGUCAUUGGAAACUGUUAAACUUGAGUGCAGGAGAGAAAAGUGGAAUUCCUAGUGUAGCGGUGAAAUGCGUAGAGAUUAGGAGGAACACCAGUGGCGAAGGCGGCUUUUUGGCCUGUAACUGACACUGAGGCGCGAAAGCGUGGGGAGCAAACAGGAUUAGAUACCCCUGUAGUCCCUGUCUCUUAUAC
rnacentral:rRNA from 1 species